rnacentral:rRNA from 1 species
UGCGUAGGUGGCGUGGAAAGUCAGAUGUGAAAUCCGGGGGCUCAACCUCCGAAUAGCAUCCGAUACUCCCAUGCUAGAGAACUGGAGGGGGAUCUGGAAUUCUCGGUGUAGCAGUGAAAUGCGUAGAUAUCGAGAGGAACACUAGUGGCGAAGGCGAGAUCCUGGACAGUAUCUGACACUGAUGCACGAAGGUCAGGGGAGCAAACG